GGUGUGUACCAUGUGGGAACCGUGUUCCCAUAAUCUUGAUUCUGUCCGGUUCCAUCCAAAGUGCAUAAAGAAACCUAGUUCCCACGCUGGAAACUGAUAACAGUGCUCGGUAUUUUAUGUUUAUUACCAGUUAUUGUUAAUUUAUUGCGUGACUUUCAUGGGAGUUGCAUAAAUAUGUCUUGAUCCCUUUUCUUGUUCUUUGAUUUACCUGGACCAUAUUCUGAAAAUAUUGUAAUCGUCGCUCGGUAAGGUUAUGGAUUGCUGGUUCAAGAGGUUUGCAAUAUCUAUUUUCACUCGUAUCACUUGGUGCUGGAUUCAUAUGUUUUUCUUCUGUAAUAAAAAGUUACGUAUGUGUAUUAAUACUGGUACCGAGGGGGCACUGCGCACUUACAAAAUUUUUACAAGUCCGCUGGAUUAAAAUAAUGUGACGUGCUUUGUUCCUCUCGGCGCUCUUUGCUUGUAUUUGAGCAAUCAUUUGUUAGAAGCAGCAGGCCAGAUCUGAAAAUAUGGCAAGUUUUUAGAAAUUGAUGCUGCGCCUUUUAGUUGCCAACACGUUCUUAUGUUGGUUUUCAGGUAAUUCUCUUUUGUUUCACUCCCUUUUAUUCGUCUUUAAGAUCUCGGAAUGGAAGUCCUCAGCUUCCUUGUCCCCCACAUCUUUGAGUCUCAUCUUAAAGCUGAAGGUCAUUAUUUUUGGCCUGUCCAGCAGUUUUGUUGUGGUUGAGAGAAAGGUUUAAAGGAUGCAUGAGAUGCUUGCCUCGUACAAGGGUGUCUAUUAUGUGGGAACCGUGUUCCCAAAAUCUUGAUUCCGUCUGGUCCAUAGUCCCUGCAAAGUCAUUCCAUCCAAAGUGCAUAAAGAAACAUAGUUCCCACGUUGGAAACUAAUAAUGUUGUUCCGUACGACGUUUGUUACCAGUUUAUUUUUUGUUUGAUGUUCGCGGGAGUUGUAUCAGUAUGUCUUGAUCCCUUUUCUUGUUUUUUGAUUUACAGGGACCAUAUUCUGACAAUAUUAUAACGCUCGCUCGGUAAGGGUGUGGAUUGCUGGUUCGAGAGGUACGCGACAUCUCUAUUUACACUCGUAUCACUUGGUGCUGGAUUCAAAUAUUUCUCUUUGGAAGUAAAAGUUACGUAUUUGUUUAAUGUUGGUACCAAAGGGGUACUGCUGCGCAUUACAAAAAUUUCUACAAGUCUGCUAGAUUCAAAUAAUAUUUCUCUCACGCUUUUUGGUUGUAUUUGAGCAAUAAUUUGUCAGAGGCGGCAGGCCAGCCAGAUCGGGAAAUAUGGCAACUUUUUAGAAAUUGAUGCUGCGCGUUUACUUUACCAACAAGUUCUUAUGUUGGUUUUCAGGUAAUUCUCUUCCGCCCCGCUCCCUUUUAAUCAUCUUUAAUAUCUCAGCAUGGAAGUCCUCAGCUUCCUUGCCCCCCGGGCCCCACUUCUUUUAGUCUGCUCUUAAAGCUGGAGGUCAUUUUUUUUUGACGUUUGUUGUAGUCAAGAGAAAGGUUUCUAGGAUGCAUGAGAUGCUUGCCUCGUACUAGGGUGUCUUUUAUGUGGGAACCAUGUUCCCGUAAUCUUGGUUCUGUCUAUGGUUCGUAGUCCCAUAUGAACGAGGAUGCUGUGUUCUCGGGAUUUUUAUCUGAUGCGAGAAAGGUCGUCAUUCUUUAUUUCGAAGCCACAUUAGAUUGAUUUUGUGUCCCGGUAAAAGUGCCCUACUUUAUUUUAUUGAAAGUGAGAGUAAAUUGAUUUAUUGUUUCAAAAUAAAUUUGCGUCCGUGUUUAAUGGAAAAUUUUACGAUUUCUUCGGAGAAAGUAGAAUUCCCCAUGUCCUUCGGGUAGUUGGAACUUAAAAAGAAUGUGCUUGGAUCUUCUAACAGCAAGUAAAUAUUUUUGGGCAUUGUUUUAAGGUUCUUGCUUCCUUUGGUAGAAAAUAAUUUUUUAUGGUGUUCCGGUCCUGAAUUAUUGCUCAGAAACUGAAAGCAUGUUUUGUAAAUCUUUUAAAAAAUAAAUGAGCUUGAUGAACAAGAAAAUUUCCCAUUCUUGAGAAAACAAAAAAUGUUCCCUGUUCCCCCGGGUAGCACCAACUGUGAGAAAAUGUGUCUUGAGCAUUUUGAUUCCUAGUAAAUAUGUUUUAUGUGUGUCGCUUCUGCAGUGAAAGCUAUCGUGAUGGGCACCCUUUCUCUCUUAGACGUUGCAAUUGGAUUUUCUAGUAUUUGAUAACCAUUUACAAAAGAUAUGUAUGCUCGGUUUUGGGAACUUUCAGAUUUAGUUUAUUGGAGAAAUGUUGUUGGUAUGUGUUUUGAAGCUUCAUUCAUGAAAUAUAGCCGGUGAAGGAUCAUUGUGGGCCGGGUCUCUUGAGUAGAAAACAGUAUUUGUGCAGCCCUUGCAUGCACAAUGAAUGUUUUAUCUGAGAUUCUCGGUCCAAAAUGUAAGAGCUUCAAUUCCAUAUUAACUACAUUUCAGUCCCAAAAUACUAGGGAAGCCAAUAUUUCAUUUUGAAAGUUAAAGGGUGUUGAUAUGUGUUUUGAAGCUUCAUUCAUGAAAUAUAGCCGGUGAAGGAUCACUGUUGGCCGGGUCUCUUGAGUAGAAAACAGUAUUUGUGCAGCCCCUGCAUUCACAAUGAAUGUUUUAUUUGAGAUUCUCGGUCCAAAAUGUAAGAGCUUCAAUUCCAUAGUAACUACCUUUUCAGUCCCAAAAUACCAGGAAAGCCAAUAUUUCAUUUUGAAAGUUAAAGGUUGUUGCUGUGUGUUUUGAAGCUUCAUUUAUGAAAUAUAGUUGGUGAAGGAUCAAAAUUGGCCGGGUCUCUUUGAGUAGAAAACAUUAUUUGUGCAGCCCUUGCAUUCACAAUGAAUGUUUUAUUUGAGAUUCUGGGUCCAAAAUGUAAGAGGUUCAAUUCCAUAUUAACUACCCUUUAGUCCUAGGAAAGGCAAUAUUUCAUUUUGAAAGUGGAAGUUUUUGUCGAUAUUUCAAAACAAACUUAUGUGCCUCGGUGCAUGAGAACGUGAAUCUUGAUUUUUUGUGGCAAAAUGAAACUGCUUGCAACCCUCAAGAUGUACAGCCUCAAAAAGAUGUGGCUUAAAAUCUCAAGCCAAAGUUUGGGUGCGUCGGUUUGAAAGUGAGAGUUUCUUUGAUCACGCACUUUCUUUUGGAGAGUUAGGCGACGUUUCACUUAGUGGUGGCAAUAUGCUCUCCCAAUCUAUUUUUAGCGCGGACAGAAAAAGUUUCGUGCUAGGUUAUGGGAAUCGUCAUUAUACGUGGAAGAGGUUGCCGUUCUUUAUUUUGAAGCCACAUCGAUAAUCUAGUUGCAGCGUUUUUCCUCUGUAGAGGUGCCCCGAUUCGAUAUUUUGAAACCGACACUGUAUUUACUGAUUCUUUUAAAAUAAGUGUGCCCCUCGGUAUUCAAGCAGAAGUUUCUCUGUUUUUUGGGGAAGAGUAAAAUUGCUCUGUUCUCUUGGUUGGUUGGAACAUAGAAAGCAAUAUGUUUGGAUCUUUUGAUUGCAAGUAAAUAUUUUUUCGGCACGUGGUUUUAAAGCUUUUUGGCUUUUGUUAAAGAAUAGUUUUUUUAAAAAAAUAUAUAUACAAAAGAAUAGUUUCCUGUUUUGGAAGUUUCCUGGUUUGGGAAGUAAAGGAGACUCAAUUUAUACUUUAAAACCUAAAAGCUGUUUUUAUGCAUUAUUUAUGGAUAAAUGUGUGACUUGAUGCACAAGAAAAUGAAUUUUGAUUUCUUGGGGCAAUGUAAAUCUGCUUGGGUCCCUCUCGCAGUUCCAAGUUUUAGAAAAACUUGCAUUGACAAAGAUUCGAGGAUAUUGUGACAGCACCACUUCUGACACGGUAACUUGCUUUCAAUAUUUAGUUUACGUAAGGCAUACGAGAUGUGUUUUGAAGGUUUUGAAACCCAUGGUCUGUUGCUGCGAAAAUAUAUCAUUCGGAGUCCCGUAUUCAGAAAGUAAAAGGCCUCGAUUAAUCUUUUCGAAAGCUAGCCUGUCCAUUUAUUUUUUGAAAACGAUUUUUUUUGUUGGUCCCCUGAGCAAAUGUUCCUCAAUUUUUUGGGGCAAUGUGAGAUUUUGCAAAAUGUCCCUUGGAUAAUUCUUUCUCUAGCAAAAUGUCCCUUGAUCUUUUAGUUGGAAGUAACUAUUCUUUGCUAUGUUGGUUUAAUUAAAGUUUCUCUUGAUCUUUUGCUUUCGAAAUAAAUCUGCAGGUGUCCCCACAGGGAAAUUGUAGCAGUUGGAAAAGUAAGUGGAGGUCAAGUAAUUUUUUUAGAAACUGAAGGCGUGUUCUAUCGAUUAUUUUGAAAGAUAAGUGUGCCUUGGUGCAAAAGAAAAUGACUUUGGAUUUGCUGCAGCAAAGCAAAACUUUUUUGAUGCCCUGGGUUUUCGGAACUCUAAAAGUUGUGGUUUGGACUCUUGAUUCAAAGUAAGUGUUUUUGAGAAUACGUUGGUUUAAAGGAAAAGUAACUCUGAUAACAAACACCCUUUCUCUUGGAGAGUUGGCAGCCUUUCUCUACGUAACUGGCAGUGUGCUUUCUCAAUCAUUUUAUUGCUACGGGCGUAAGACAUGAUUGCUCGGUUAAAGGAGAUAUUCAUUUUAUUUGAGAAAGGCCUUCGUUCUUGAUUUGGAAGCCAAUUUGAUGAACUUCAGUAAAAGUGGGCGAAUUCUUUUUCUCGCAAAUGAGAGUGCUUUGGUUUAUUGUUUCAAAAUAAAUGUACUUUGACUCCUAGGCAACGGGUUUUUAAAUUUCCUUGGAAAAAGUAAAAUUCAUCCCGUUGCUCGGCCAGUUGGAGCUCAAAAAAAGCAUGCAUGUAUGCUGAAUUUGUCUUGGUUUUAAUCAUUGUUCUAAUGUAGGUCUUCAAAAAAUUGACCGAGAAAACUAUUUGAGAGAGCUAAACCAUCGAAGUCUAUCGGACCCAAAGUGUAGUAGUCUUACCAAACUUCAGAUCUUGUGGGAUCUUUUCUCUGUUUACUUUUUUUUUUUUUUUUUAAAGCAAUAUCUGUGGUUAAAAGAGAUUGGUAUGUUUAACAUGCAAGGCAACUACGGAGCCUGGCGUAACCGCGUCAAUAUUAUGUUGCUGACUUUUCUUUGCUGUAGGUACGUAGCGGGAAACUUGUUUAAGCGGAAAGAACGGAGUUUGUUCCAGUGGCUAUCUACACGAACAACGUGUGCUACGCGGAAUGUGAGUAUUAUGUUACCCUGGAUUGUCUUGAAAAUAUUUCUCUCGCUGCUACUUUGUUUAAGAAACAUUUGUAGUUAUACAAAAUUAACGUUUAGAACAUGCCAGACGGUUAAAAAGCUACAGAUAACAGGGUAUGCUAAUUUUGCCACCUUUUCCUUGGUGCAGCAAAUUGGAGCGAGGGUGAAGCCUUCCUAAGUGUAGAGCUACAGAUUGAAGGUUUUUGGACCCUACUUUAUUUAAUUUAAUAGUGGAACUUAUCUUUCUUGGAAAAUAGUAAAAGAGGCAAUCGGUCCUGCUUUGUUGUUGUUUACUAGAGACGUGUUAUUGAAAGGAACAAAUGAGGUUUCUUCCCGUUGCUGGUUAUGCAGGCGACGAGUGCGGCUGCGUGGCUUCUGAGUGUGAUUUUACUCCGUGUACAUCAUCAGGAAUGGAGUUUUUACUCUUACCGAGUUUUAUUUUAUAGGGUUGUCGUCCCGUAUUUGUAUCUGCAAUUUGUGUAGUGUUGGAACGGAAGUUUAUGGCUUGAACUUCCAUUUUGGUGGAUUUUCGUCUUGGGAAAUAAGUCAUUUAGCGUGGUCCAAUUCCAGUGGAGUUCAUGGCAACCACGUUGGCUCUUAAUAAGCGGACUGAUCCAGUGAAUAUCCUGCAAAUUUUGUGCAUGACUAGGGAUCUUUUGUUGAUAAAUAGAUCUCGGGGCGGUUGGGCGGCCGUUCAUCAAAACUAAUUUUACCAAACUAGUAGAAUUCUUGUCGUAGUUUAGAUUAUUGGAAUUUUUUUUCCGUUUUUGAUGUUUUAUUUUUGUCUGUUGUCCUUCAUUGCGUGUUAAGCAUUUGUCCUUUAUAUUACUCUACUCGAUUUUAGCUUUUUCAUUUGAUAAUUUUGUUCGCAUGAUCUGAUGCUGGAAUCAGGUUUCAGGUGUUCUGCAUGUCACGUCUGAUUUGUUAAUAUUUUUCAUCUCAUUAGGUAAUUAUCAUAUCGGCAUUGGUAGGUGAUAUUACUCUGCUCAAUUUUAAAUUUUAUUAUUUUGAUAAUUUCGUUCACAUGUGCUGAUGUUACAAUCACGUUUCAGGUUUUCCGCUUGCUAGCCAUUUUGUCAUAAUUUGGUCCCAUGACCUGUUAUAUAAAUUCUGAUUUAUCCUUUCAAAUGGUGCUUUUUCUCACAGCUAAAAUCCUCUCAAAGAUGAGUUCCCGUUUAAUAAUCCAUUGGUCAAGGUCGGUAAGAGAAAUUCAACCGUAGAGAUGUGUGGAGAAGUGUAUCGCAUAGCUCCAGUUACUCUUACUCAACAGCAGCAAGCUUUCCAUCAGAAAAGGAGAUCUAGAGCAUACCAGGGGAAGGGACCAACUGUGUUCCUUAAGGACGCGGAUUCCAUACCUCCUGAUGUAGACCCCAAUACAACCAGAUGGAUUCCAGCCAAUCAUUUUUUUGCAACCACUGCAGCUGACAUUGAUUAGACCUGGCACAAAACAAUAUGUAUCAGGAGCAUGGUGUUCCAUUUCGUAUUCAGGCUGAGCAUGAGGCAGUAGAGAGGAAGCUUGAAGCGGCUUGAAUGGCAUGCAUGGUAACAGAGAGUAACUUUUCACUAUAAAAUGCCCUAUAUAACCAUAUACAUUCUUCACUGAAGUUGCAUCCUACUGAAUAACUUACAGUAAAUCCUGUAGAAGGUCGGAAGCCUAACCCAUAAUGAACUAAUAGUGAAAGCACCAGCGGGCUAGUCAGUUUGGGCAUAAACCUAAAAUUGAGUUUCUCUACUUGCAUUAUCUCUUAUCAAAAUAUUAAUCCUGUAGUUUCAGGUGCUAAAGAUACUUGCAAUUAUGGAAGUAGAAAUCAUACUGGUAAACCUAUGAUGCGCCCUUGACUUUCGAUUCUAAGGCCUUGUUUUACCAGGACGGAUUUGAACCUUUCUUUGUUUUUUUUUUUUGACAAUUUUGGAGGUGGGUUCUGGAUGUUUGCUCAUAUGAAAAUAUGAAAUUGAUUUACCAGAUCAACACCAUAUAACAGAAUUUACGCUAUCCGAACUUUAUUCUGGGUUAUUCUAUUGCUUUUAAGUUAUUAAGGUCUGAAAUAUAUAUAUAUUAAAGUAAUUUCUUUAUGUGUGUCAGCUUUUUUAUUUAGGAGCGAAAGUUUAUUGGAGUUAUAUUUACUCAAAUUUUGUCCCAUUAAUAAUGAUAACUACUUAUGACACGUUACUCAGAAAAAAUUAUUUGUUGUUGUUUUUUGCAUGGAGAAAAAUUCAAUGACCCUUUCUUGUAUGACACCUUUAGCACUCAUUCCUAUUCAACAAUGCUCUAUGCAAAGGUAUUCUUGUAUGACACCUUUAGCACUCAUCGAUACCUGCGGUAAAGUACAAAGAAAAUAAAAGAAAAACGGCCCGCAAACUGUUUCAACCACUCAUUCUUGACAGCUGCAGCUUGUCUAGCGCCAACAACAAAGAACUCUGUAAUGACUUCGAGAGGCAUGCCUUUGGUUUCUGGGACUUUCAGGAACACAAAGAUCCAAGAGAUGAAGCACACAAUCGAAUAUAUGCUGAAGACGCUUGCUAAGCGUUUUGAAUUGAUCAUUACAGGCAGAGCGUAUGUCACAAUAAUGUUGCCGACCCAAAAAACCGUGGCACAGAUAGUAAUGCAAAUGCCACACCCUUGUAGGGAAGAUCACAGUGCAGAGGAUAUUUGGAAUUGGCCCAUAUGCCAUGACGAGGCCGCAGAUGUGUGAUACACAAGCUGAUGGCGUUGCUGCAUUUAUAACUGUGCUCAACUUCACUAGUGGGCCAAUAACUAGAAUGAUUAGUGACACUAUUAGUGCAGGAAUUGUCGCAAGUAGCAGCCGCCUGGCAAUGAAGGAUGUGUGAGUUAAAGAGAAAGUAAAAUAUUAUGAGCAAAUGCAUCUUGGGAGACACUGUAUAUGCUAUAUUUAUCUGUUGCUAUUGGGGAAACCAAGGCUCUUGGUCCACCUGAUGGCCACAAGCCUCUGAGAUUUUUUUAGUGAUUUGAUCAAUUAAGAGCUAUUUUGCUUUUGCAUGCAGAUUUUCAAGUACGGGAAUGCAGGAAACUCCAAGAACAAAAAUAGAUAAGCAUAAAAGAAAAAUAGGGGUUGGAGUUUGCUUCUUUUGCUAGUAAAUCAUGGUACCAAUAGAAAAGGCAGCUGUCAAUGCUAAAAUGUGUAAUCUUGCCACUAUUAUUCAUCACAAAUUCUAUUCGCAUGUCUAGAAAAUUUUUUUGGUCAGAUCGAUGCACAUUUCUAAUAAACAUGUCCUGGAUUUUGUUAUGUUUUCCUUUUUCUUAAGCUUUGUUGCAGCUGUCAUGGCAAUUAUUCGGGACCAUUAACUAGUAAUUCAGGUAACUUCAUUGCAACGGCGUGGCAAUUGAGGUGUUUGGUUCAUAUAUUAAAUUAUAUUUUUUGUUAUUAAAGCUGGUCUAAUAUGACUAAAACACAUCUUGAAAUUUUUUAUUUAAAAUUUAUGAGAAUUUAAAAAUUAUUUUAGAAAAUAUUAUAUAUUAAUUUUCAGUUUUAUUUGUUAAUAAAAAAAAUAACAGUAAUAUAAUUAUAUUAUAUAUAUUUGAUGGCUUUUUUUAAUCCUAUUUAUGACUUUUUCUUUUUUACUAUAAAGGGGAUUGUUUAAAAGAGUGAAGCUCGGAAAAUGCAGCCGACCCCUCAUCUCUUAUCCUUAUUAUAUAACAGAAGCUGAUGACUUCGUCGCCUAAUUCUAGGUACGUAAAUUUUGUCAAUCGAAGCGGAAGCCUGCUAUGCUGUUAAUGCUGCUAUCUAUUCUCUUUUGUAUGGUUGUUGUUUUGUUUUGAUUCCUGUCAUAUGUUUUUUAGAUCAAUACCACUGUAUGUGAUUUUUUUUUUUCUUUUUCUUUGUCGGAGUUCUCAUCAUUUUGUUUUUUUUUUUUGUAUUAUUGAGAUGAAAUUGUUAGUUUGAAUCCUGAUAGCUCAAGAGUGCUGUUUAGUUUUUUGCGCACCGGCAGGCUUGUCACUUCUUCUGUUGAAGUUGGCAUAAUGGCUGAUCUAAUGUGGUAGGCUAUGUGGUUUUACACAAGUUAACAUGCAGCACCUGUAGAAGGUAAUCUCUUCACUGGAAAUGUUGAGAACUUAGUUAAUCCAUUUGUUGAUUUGCAUGACUUUGUUCAAUGAGUUUAGUCAAAGAUGCAAAUGGAAGGUUCUUAAAUGAUUUUUUUUUAUUUAGUUGUUGUGGUACAUUAGGUAAUGACUGUAUAGAUUUAUGUUAGAUACAUUUCUUCGACUAUAGUGAAACAGAGAAAACGAACGACCAUUAUUAGUAACUGCUUGGAAUUCAGUUGCUGAUCUAAUUAAUGUUAGCUAUUUACUGAGAGGAUUUUUUUUGUUUUUGUAAUCAAAGAGAAACUUACUUCAUUUAUUGUGACCCAUUUCUUGCUGUCACAUUCAAUUAUAUUCUUUUAGCAUUUUUGAAAUUUUCGAAUUUGCGUUGGUUUUCUUCUUCUUUUUUCUUGUAUUUGUUAUAGGGGCGGAGGGGGACAGAAGAGGGUUUUAUCUCUGCUAUGCUGGUAAGAUUUUUCUUCAUUCUGUUAUUUUUUUUACUCGAGGCUUCUGAAAAUUAAAACCACAAAAAAAAAUUAAGAAAAGAAAAAAAAAAAAAAAACCGAACAAAGAAAAGGGCAAUUAAAUUGCCAGGAAACAAUUUUUCAGGUACCUGGGGUGUGGAAGGAGGGAGCCCAGGGGAAUAAAUUUGCUGGGAUAUACACACGUCAUGCAGAAAAUCAGCACUUUGUUUGGGUGCAGCAGUGAUGGACCUGGGUGCUCUACGCAAGCCCACCAGCACACUCACCAGUGAGCGCGUACAUAAUGCAUUGUGCCCCCGUGCAUUUGCCCCGUCGCUGUUUCAAGCCAUUAUGCCUCAGAUGACAUCAAAAAAGUAAUUUCAACCUCAUCUGAUAUUUUUGUUAUGUAGGACAAAUAAUGUUGAUUUGUUUAAUCAGGGAUUUAGAAAUAAAAUGAGACAUCGCACCUAGAGUUUUUUAAACAUCAUAUUUAAGACGUUUUAAGAAUCACACUUAAGUGUUCGAUUGUAUUAUUUUCUUUAAAUAUCUUUUUCUAACUAGAGAUAGAUUAGAAAAUAAUAAAUUAAUAAAAUUAAAAAUAUUAAUCUUAAUAAAAAUGAGAAAUUAACACUAAUAAUGUUAGAAAUCCUAAUAAGAAUAAAAAUCUCAAGUUACUAAAAUUAAAAUAAUAUUCUUAAAUAAUAAUUAAUUAUAAUUUUUAAUUUUUUAAAUUACGUUUUUUACUCUUCACGCUUGGUGAAUUUUAAAUUAAAGCAUAUGCCCUUUAUAAUUUUAUUCACAUGCGCUGAUGUUGGAAUCAGGUUUCAGGCGUUCUUCAUGUCAAGUCUGAUUUGUUAAUAUUAUGUAAUCAUUGUAUCCGCGUUGGUGGAAGUUAUAUUACUCUGCCCAGUUUUAGUUUUUAUCAUUUUGAUAAUUUUGUUCACAUGUGCUGAUGUUAAAGUUACGUUUCAGGAUUCCUGUGACCUGUCAUAUGAAUGAUAAAGGGCAUAUGCUUGAAGCAGCACAAAAUGUAAGCAGCUUGAAUGACAUGCAUGGUAACAGAGUAAUUUUUCACUAUAAAAUGUUCCAAAUAACCAUAUAUUCUUCAGUGAAGUUGCAUCCUUACUGAACAACUUACAAUAAAUCCCGCAGAAUGUUGGAAGCCUCACCCAUAACGAACUAAUAACGAAAGCACUAGCAGGCUAGUCAGUUCGGGCAUAAACCUAAAUUUGAGUUCCUCUCCUCGCAUUAUCUCUUAUCAAAAGAUUAAACAUGUAGUUUCAGGUUCCUAAGAUACUUGCAAUUAUGGAAGUAGAAACCAUGUUGGUAAACCUAUGAUGUGUCCUUAACUUUUGAUUCUAAGGACCUGUUUUACCAGGAAGGAACUAAACAUUUCUUCUUUUUUUAUGGGUUCUAGAUGUUUGCUAUUGAUUUACCAUAUCAACACUACAUAGCAUAAUUUAUGAUAUCUGAACUUUAUUCUGCAUUGAUCUAUUGCUUAUGAGGUAUUCGUGUCUGAAAUAUAUAUGUUAAAGCAAUUACAUGUCUAGAAAAUUUCUUUGGUCAGAUUGAUGCACAUUUCCACUAAACAUGUCCUGGAUUUUGUUCUGGUUUCCUUUUUCUCAAGCUUUGUUGCAGCUGCCAUGGCAAUUACGCAAGACCAUUCAACUAGUAAUUCAGGUAACCCCGUUGCAACAGUUGUGGUAAUUGAGGUGUUUGCCUCAUAUAUUAAAUUAUGUUUUCUGCUCUUCACACAUGCUGAGAUAUGAAUUUAAGCUGGUCUAAUAAGGCUAAGCGCAUCUUGAAACUAUUAAGCCUUAUCUUCACUGAAAUCUAGUGGAGACUUUUCAUCAAAACUAAUUUUACCAAACUAAUAGAAUUCUCGUCCUAGUUGACAUUAUUUUGGAUUUUUUUUCCCUUUUUUCUUUCCUGAUUUCUUAUUUUCAUCUGUUGUCCUUCGUUGCAUGUUAAUCAUAUGUUCUUUCCCUUCUGCACCUCCCCUAUUCAGCCUGAUCCAAUCAUCCUGUCACCAUAAAGAUUUAAGAUAAACCAAAUGUGAGCAAAAACAUCUUUACCUUUUCUUUUAUUUUUAAAAAUUUUUCUUCCUAAAAAGUUACAAGGAUUAUUGAACUAAACAGAUUAUUGGUCAAACUUUUACAUAUUUCUUCUUAGUUGGUAGGUUUUUCUUUUUUUUUUUUGAAAAAAAAAUAUUACAUAUAGUUUUUUUACUGAUUGAUGAUCAAUCAAUAUUGCCUCUUUAAUGGUUGAAAUUUGCAGUGGGUUACAUAUUUAUCUUUUUGUUCAUGUUCUUUCCUAAUUCGUUAAUUUCUUUGAAAAUAUAUAAUGACUGCAUAUUUUUAGGAUGUAUUACUCUAUAUUUAUGUGAUUUAUUAAUUCGUAUUUUUAUAAUUUUUUACUAUUUAUUUUUAGGAGUGUUUGUUGAUUGUAUAGUAAUUCGAAAGUAUGUAUUUUAUUACAAAAGAAAAAUAAUAUUAACAGAAAAUAAAUAAGAAUUAAUUAAAAAUGUUAUGCAAAUUUAAAUUUUAAAUCAAUGUAAAAAUAUUUGUUUUAUAGGUUUAUUAUUUUAUUUUAUGUAUAUAAGAUAACAAUAUUAGCUAAAAUAAUAUAUUUUAUUAUAAAAAUAGAAUAAUAUUGUCAGAGAACAAGUAUUAUUAAAUAGGAAAAUAUUAGUUAAUUUAUCGUAUAUAGAAUUAUAAAUAUAUUUUAAUUUAUAUAAUAAAAUUUUUAAGAUAAAUAUUGAUAUUUAAUAAGUAUUGUAAUAUUUAAAACAUUUUUAAAAAAUUUGUAGGUAAAUUAAAAUUAAAUUUUAUUUUCAAAUUUAAAAUGUUUAAAUAGGAAAUUUUUAUAAAAAUUAAAAUAUGGUAUUUAUUUUUAAUAAAAUAUUAAUACAUUAAUAUUAUUUUUAUAUUUAAAAUUUUUAAGAAUUUAAAAAUUAUUUUAUAUGUAUUAAUUUUAAGGUUAGUUAAUAAAAUAAAAUAAUAAGAAUAAUAUAAAUAGUUUAUAUCAUAUAUAUUGUACGAGACAGUUUUUAUUUUUUUUUUACGCUGUUUACAGUUUUUUUUUUAACGCUAAAAAAGACUUUAAAAGAGCUGGUUUACAAAAUCCGACCGAGCUCAUCCUCAAACCCGUUUCUGCAUAUGAUAUUCAGAGGCGGUGGACUAAUGAACCCUAAAACUUCAAAUUGAGAAAGUUGUUCAAUCCCAGGUACAUGAAUUUUGUCAACUGAAGCGGAUGACCGCUAUUCUUUUAACGCUGCUGCUAUAUAUUUUCCUUCGUGUUAUUGCUGUUUUGUUUUGAUUUCUGUCAUAUAUUUUCUUGAUCAAGACCCCACAGUAUUUGAGUAUUUUUUUUUCUUUCCCCUUAUUGGAGUUUUUAUUAUUUUGUUUUUUUGUUUUUUUUUGUAUUACAGAUAUGAAAUUGUUAGUUUAAAUUAUGAUGUUAUAUGAUAUAUUUUAUUAUAAAAAUAUUAUUAUUAUUGAGUGAAAAUAAAUUAAAAUGAAAUAAUUAUUAAAAAUAAAUGCUAUAAAAAUUUUAAAAUUGAAUAUUAAUAAAUAAGAAAAUAUUAGUUUUUAUUAGUUAAUUAUCUUAUUUUAUGUGUAUAAAUAAUUAUUUUUUUUUAACCUUUGAUGGUUAUCAUAUUUUCGUAUUCGUGAUUAACUUUAUCAAAUCUCUUUGCUCUUCUCCCAUUCUUUCUCUUUCUCGACCUUCUUUACUGAUACAUGUUGAGGGUACUUUUGCUGAAAAUUUCAAGUUUUCUAACUUCUCUCCUCCUCCUCUUCCUCUUUUCUCUCCUCUAAGAUUUAUUUUUUCAUCUCCUCUUUUGUUAAUCUUUUCUUAUUAGUUAUUUUAACAGGCAAUUUCCAAUGGAAGUCAAGACUGGGAAGAACAAAAUAUUUUGACGGUAUCUGUUUAUGCCUUAUUCUUCAUCACCAAGUUGUUUUGAAUUUUUAAUGCAACCUUAUUAACUAAUAUUGUAGGUUUUUUUUUUGCAAAUUUAUUAUUGAAAGUAGUUGCUACAAAUGUUUUAAUAGUUGGCAUUGAACCAAUAUUAAUAAAAGAAUCAAGAUACUAACCCUUAGAAUCAGUCAAGAAGCUUCUCAACGAGAACUAUACCUGCUUUGAGCUUAUCUUACUAGUAACUUUUUUAAACUCAAAUGUACGUGAGUACUCGUGCAUAACCAUCUUAACCAAGUCGAUCUUAUAUUCUUUUUGUAUUGUAUGUAUAAAUUUGAAGUUUUCAAUGUUACAAAACAGUAUUCUUCGCAAAUUCUAUACGCUAAAGAUGAUUGUGAAAUGGUAAAAUUAGUUUAUAGGUUAGUGGAUGAUGAAUUCUGUCAAACGGAUUGCUUGAAGGAGUCUCAUACUUUUCUCAUUUUAUUUGUGAUGUGUUAUUAUGUAAUUCUUUUAUUUUAGUUACAGAUAAAUAUUUUCUCAAGAGGUUUACCGUUUUAUGAUGUUGUUUUUGCAAGAGUUUUCUGCAAAAGUUCAAGAAGAAAUUAUGAUGAAAUGUAUUUUUUUUUAAUUGUUUUAGCUUAAAGUUGAUGUUUAAUAUCUACUUAAUACUGUUAAAAAAUUGUAUUUUUGCAUAUAUACUCUUUUCUUAAUAGACGUAGGUGAUGAAUUUGAUAUCUCAAUGGUGACAAAAACCAAGAUGAUCAAAGGGGUUUGAUUAAGAUCUAAUUGAAGGUAUGUGUGUCUUUUAUAUGAAAUUGUUUUUUUCUUUUCAUCUUUCUCUCAAGUUUUUUUCGGUCCUAAUAGGUGCUAUUAGGCUGUAAAUAAUCUCUAUAAAUGUGAAUAUUAUAAAUAGAUAAAUAAUAUUUUUUAAAAUAUUUUGAUAACAACUUUUGAUAUAAUUAGAUAAUAACUAUUUUUUCUCAAGUUAUGAUUAAAAAAUUUAUAUUAAUGUUAAGAUUUCUCAUACAUAAGUUUUUCUUAUAAAACUUUAAAUUCUCUAUGAAUUUUUACUUUAGUUUUGAUAAUAUUUAUUUUUGCACAACUCUAAAUAAAUUACAAGAAUAAAAAUUAUCAAGAAAGAAAAGUUUAUUAAUAAUAGCAAUAGAUAUAGGCGUUAGUAUAUUCAUGAAAAUAGUUUAUAUGUUUCUUGGAUCUAGUCUGAUUUGUUAAAAUUUUUCAUCCUCCUUAUAUAAUCUAUCAUGUCCGCAUUGGUAUAAAUUAUAUUACUCUACCCGAUUUUAGAUUUUUCAUUUGAUAAUUUUGUUCACAUGCGCUGAUGUUGGAAUCAGGUUUCAGGUGUUCUGCAUGCCAAGUCUGAUUUGUUAAUAUUUUCUAUCUCAUUAUUUAAUCAUCAUAUCCGCGUUGGUAGAAGUUAUGUUACUCUGCCCAAUUUUAGUUUGUAUCAUUUUGAUAAUUUUAACUCGGUUUGGCCCAGAUCAUUUUGGUUGUUCAUUCUUCGAUGUUGCUUUAGAUGUACAAACUCUAGUUUUCUGUUUAUUUUACAAGAAACUCAUGGAAAAACAAUUGCCCAUAUUGUGCUAUGUUAUAUUCUUCUCAUGAUGGUGGCAGCCUGCAGAUGUUCUGCAGUGGUCUUUCUGAAGAACAGGGCAUUUAAUUUAUUAAAGUAUCAUUAGUUAUGUCAUAAGGUAGAAAUUGUACUUCUCGCUUGUUUGAUCUGAAAAGGAUGUGAAUCAUACCAUUUUAUGUUUUAGGAAAUGUGCAGAAAUUGAAAAGUUGUAACUUGUGACCACUUGGUUUUCUACUUUGUUUCUCUGCUGUUAUAAAGUUGCAAAUGGUCUUGAAGCACACUUGAGAUACUCAUAGCUACAUCUUCUUAAAGCCCAUAUUUGGUUGUCUAGAUGUUUUUCCCCCAGGUAGUAUUGAAAAGAUGAUGGGCACAAUUCUCUAGCUCUGAUGCUAUUUAUUCAGUUUAGUAUGUGUAUUGUGUUGAUUUGGUUUGCCAAUUUUUUCUCUUUCCUGGACGGCACUGUCAUUAGGUAACUUAUUAUAUUUUUUCUUUGUUCCCUUGACCUUAAUCUACAUGCUUGAUUAAUGGCUGCACCAUUUUGUUCAAGUUAUUGUGAAAAAUAUUAAAAUUAUGCCUUGUUAAUUUAAUUGCAUGUUUCCCAGGAUAUUCCUUCCUUAGCUGCUGAUGCUGCAAAAAAGUAUCCCGGUGUAUCAUACAUCAUAACGGCUCCUCUUGGCUUGCACAAGCUCCUUGUGGUAUGAGAUUUUUCUUAUUUUUCUCUCAUGGUAUUUACAUUAAUCCUGCAAGACUUUUGGAGUCAUCACUGUACUUUCAACUUGUGCUUAGCUUUAUUUUUAGCUCUCCUUACCUGAUUGAUAUGUAGAUUAUUCACGAGUACAUGGGAUAUGACAAUACUAUUCAGUUAAUGCUAUUAAAUCAAAUUUUACCCCAUAUAUAUAUAUAUUAUAUAUAUAGGCACUAAAAUUCAUGCCCAGUUAACAGCAUUCUUAACAAAUGUACAAAAGUUUCCGAUUGACUGCAUUCUUAAUUUAAUUAAAACUAAAAUGAAAACUUUCAUCCUUAUUAUUAUUUAUUUUUACCAGCUUCCAAAAAUAUAUCACUCUUUUGCAGUGUUGUUCGCUGGUUUGAUCAAAUAGUUGUGAUCAAAAUUUUUAGUCUAGUUAUAACUACUUUUAAUUGAGAAUGCAAUCAGUUAGGAACUUAUAAACUUUCUUAUUAGGAGUGCAUAUUCCAAUUUCAAGAACACCAUCAAGUAGUAUUUCUAGGUAAUCAGACCUGUGAUUUUAUGAGAUAGACCUUGUCCUACUCGCACGUUGGACUAUGGCUUAUUUUAUCUUUUAAGAGCUCGAGAGAUCAGAAUGUGUCUGAUACCCAUAUGGCUCAUUAAGCAACAGAAGUUUCUGAUUCUCAAGGGAUAGAAUUUGUGAUGCCCUCUAUUUCCCAUUAGUAGUGUGCUAGGAUAGGCUAAAACGAGAUCAAGAAACAGAAGCAGCCAAUAUUUUUUGAGUAACACGGCAUUGAGCGACGCUACUCUGGCCAUGCUAAUUAGUUUUAUGUUUUGCAUUGAUCAUGUCCAUUUGUAAAUAAUUUCUCCAUUUUCUCACUCUCUACAGUUUUAGGUUGCAAGGUUAGUAAUGUGAUAAUUAGUUUCCUCAUUCUUUAUGGGUUUUGAACUGGUUUUUGAAAGUUUGCGUUUAACAGUUCUGUGUAAUUAGAGCAAUUAUUUGUUUUAAUUAUGUUUAAUGGGAUGAUCAAUAUUGUUGCAAGCAGAUCAGAUUCUCUUAUUGUAUUAUCGUUUCGAUAUUAGUUAAUUUGCUGAGUGACAUUCAUGGGACUUCUGUCGAUAAAACUUGAUCAUUUUUCUCAUCCUGGAAGUAUUAUAAUUUUCGUUCAAUUAGCAUAUAGUUUGCUUGCUGGAGAGGUAUGCAAUAUUUAUCUUUUGUGAGAAAGGUUGUCGUUCUUUAUUUUGAAGCCACAUCAGGAAAGUAGAUUUGAUUUUGUUCGUCGGUAAAAUUGCCUUAAUUUAUUUUCUUGCAAGUGAGAGGAAAUUGAUUUGAAAAAUGAUGCAGAGGAGGAGUUCGUGGUUUGUGGGAAGGCCUGUUGUUGGAGACUGGAACUGUCCUUUUUGCUGAGGUUCUUGGCAGAACCCUAACCGGUGAAACUGUACAGAUGCAUGGUGGAGCAGACAACUUGUCUGUGUGGAUUUGCCAGAGAAGGAAUAGAAAUUGAAAGGAAAUUUGGUGGUGCAAAAAAUCUGUAAGUAUUAUUUCUAAGGAUUAAGAGAAUAAAUAAUUUAAAAUUAGAUAACAGUUUAAAGAAUUUUAAUAGAAUAUAUUUGUACAUAUAAAUUUUUUUUAAUAAUACGCGUAUUAUUUAAUAAAUUUUUUAGAAAAAAGAAUUAUUAAAAAUUGUAUUGUAAUUAAGGGUGUUUGUUUUGUUGUGGUUUUUUAUUAUAAUAUUUGUAUUUAAAAAAAAUAUUUUUGUAGUUGGGUGAGUAAAAUAUAAAAUGUUUUUGAUAAUAGUUAAAUUGAAAAUUUAUUUUUUUAUAAAUUUAAAAUAAAAAAUUACAAAAGUUACAUGAAUUUUUAUUAAGAAUAAAUGUUAUUAUUAUUGUAUAAAUAAUAACAUAUUUUCACAAUUAUUUAUAAAAUUAUUUUUAAUGGAAAACUCAGUAAGGCAGUAAAAAAAAUAUUUAUCUUUUUAAUUUUCUCUCUCUGCCGCUCCUCAUCUUCGGUCUCUGGGUUUCCUUUUUUCUGCCCCUGAGGUUCCGCGUGUUUAUAAAGCACAGAGGUUGCGUCACGGAGACGCACCUCAGCUCCUCUAUAAAAGGGCUGAGACUCUCUUUCCUCCUUACGCAUCUGCUGUCUCCUGAUCCGGUAAGGUUUUCUUCUGAUUGCCCAUUAGAUCUGGUCCCGCUCCGAUCUUCUAGAGAUUGGAGGCGGUCUUCAUUCUCUCUGAACGGAAGAGUGCAUAAAAUAGGGCUCUUCUGCUUCCGAGUCUUCUCUCUUGUGGCGAUUUAGAGGUUGCGUCACGGAGACGCAGCUCAGCUCCUCUAUAAAAGCGCUGAGACUCUCUUCCCUCCUUCCGCCUCUGCCGUCUCCUGAUCCGGUAAGGUUUUGUUUUCGAUUGCCCAUUAGAUCUGGUCCCGCUCCGAUCUUCUAGAGAUUGGAGGCGGUCUUCAUUCUCUCUGAACAGAAGAGUGCAGAAAAUAGGGCUCUUCUACUUCUGAGUCUUCUCUUUCGCGGCGAUUUAGAGGUUGCGUCGCGGAGAGGCAGCUCAGCUCCUCUAUAAAAGCGCUGAGACUCUCUUUCCUCCUUCCGCCUCUUCUGUCUCCUGAUCCGGUAAGGUUUUCUUUCGAUUGCCCAUUAGAUCUGGUCCCGCUCCGAUCUUCUAGAGAUUGGAGGCGGUCUUCGUUCUCUCUGAAGGGAAGAGUGCAGAAAAUGGGGCUCUUCUACUUCCGAGUCUUCUCUCUUGCGGCGAUUUAGAGGUUGCGUCACGGAGACGCAGCUCAGCUCCUCUAUAAAAGCGCUGAGACUCUCUUUCCUCCUUCCGCCUCUGCCGUAUCCUGAUCCGGUAAGGUUUUCUUUUUGAUUGCCCAUCGGAUCUGGUCCCGCUCCGAUCUUCUAGAGAUUGAGGCGGUCUUCAUUCUCUCUGAACGGAAGAGUGCAGAAAAAGGGGCUCUUCUACUUCUGAGUCUUCUCUCUUGUGGCGAUUUAAAGGUUGCGUCACGGAGACGCACCUCAGCUCCUCUAUAAAAGCGCUGAGACUCUCUUUCCUCCUUCCGCCUCUGCCGUCUCCUGAUCCGGCCGAAAAUGCUAAAUUACCCUCAUCCUGCUGUAUAAUUGUCUCAGGAUUGCUCUGUUGGGCUCUUAUAAAGCAAUGGAUCCAAAUGUUGCACGAGCUGUUGAGUAAUUUCCAACUGGUUUUGGUGAUUUGCUUUUAUUAGUUGAGAUAAAAAAAUAAAACGAAUUAUUAAUUAUUAAUUUGGUUUCGGCAUUUAUAAAAAAAAAAAGUUUGUAUUUGAAAAAUAUUUUUGUAGUUAGACGAGCAAAGAAGAAAAAUGUUUUUGAUAAUAGUUAAAUUCAAAAUUUAAAAUAAAAAAUCACACUCAAUACAUCUUGGUGCUGGAUUCAAAUAUUUUCUUUCGAAAAAAGAAACUUACGUACGUGUAUUAAUAUCGGUGCCUGUGCGCAUUUACAAAAUUUUUACGAGUCUGCUAGAUUCAAAUAAUGUAUCGUUCUUGUUUCUCUCACGCUUUUUGGUUGUAUUUGAGCAAUAAUUUGUCAGAGGCAGCAAGCCAGAUCUGGAAAUAUGGCAAGUUUUUAGAAAUUGGUGCUGCGCGUUUAAUCAUCUUUAACCAACAAGAUCUUAUGCUGGUUUUCAGGUAAUUCUCUUUUGUUUCGCUCCCUUUCAAUCUUCUUUAAGAUCUCAGAAUGGAAGUCCCCAGCUUCCUAUCUCUUAGUCUCCUCUUAAACCUGAAGGUCAUUAUUUUUGGCCCGUCCAACAGUUAUGUUGCAGUCAAGAGAAAGGUUUCCAGGAUAUGCUUGAGAUGCUUGCCUCGUACAAGGAGGGGGUGUGUACCAUGUGGGAACCGUGUUCCCAUAAUCUUGAUUCUGUCCGGUUCCAUCCAAAGUGCAUAAAGAAACCUAGUUCCCACGCUGGAAACUGAUAACAGUGCUCGGUAUUUUAUGUUUAUUACCAGUUAUUGUUAAUUUAUUGCGCGACUUUCAUGGGAGUUGUAUCAAUAUGUCUUGAUCCCUUUUCUUGUUCUUUGAUUUACCGGGACCAUAUUCUGAAAAUAUUGUAAUCGUCGCUCGGUAAGGGUAUGGAUUGCUGGUUCAAGAGGUUUGCAAU
rnacentral:lncRNA from 1 species